rnacentral:misc_RNA from 1 species
AGUGAGAUGGGCUUACUUGGGCUUAUGCCAACCAUUUCUAAAAGGUUAAACCUAACCAAUUAGUUUAGUUAGCCUAGACGCUUAUAAACUCAUUAAAUUUGUUGUAUACUUCAGAUGUGGGAUUUGGAACUCUUAACACCAAGCUGACAUCCUUAAUUCUAUGAAUUUGUUCAACUUUGAUAUCAUGUCUAUUGCUAGCCAUCACUGACAAUUUCAAUUCCACAUUUAAGAAAAUAGAAUGCUUUUGCAUAGACACAGUUAGACGUGCCCUAUUUUGACACAGCUCAUUAUGGUUGAGCAGUUUUCGAUUUGAACAAAAAAAUGAACUGAACCGAGCCAAUUCGAUUCAGUUUGUUGGUUCAAUCAUUUUAAUUCGGUUAUUUUUUUUUAGUAAUUUCCAUUUUCGAUUCGGUUCGGUUAAUUAACCAAAAUUUAAGGAAAAACCGAAUUGAUCAAUUAUUAUCCCAUUCCCAUCCCAUAUAGCUAUAUUCUCUUGUAAAUAACAAAACUUCUCCCGUAAAUCCCAUUCAAUAUCCACAUGACAAAAUCCCUUGCCCUACAUUUUCACUCACAGUUGAAGCCCAUCUAUCUUCAACAAGUCCCAUUCAUCUAUCUUCCACAACCGAAGCUUCUCCCACAAGUCCCAUUCAUCUAUCGACUUCUUCAACUACAAAAUUUUCUUUUUUUUGAUAUUAUUUCUAUUUCCAUUUUCAUUUCAUUUCAAGGCAAAUUCAGCUUAUGCCCUUUCGUCAAGUCCAAAUUUUCACCUCAGAAGCGACAAGGUGAAUAGCAUGUUCAAUUUCUAUGCAUUAAUCGCUAGGAUAAGCUAUAAUCCUUCCUUCUCAAGCCAGAUGAUGUUUUUGAAUAAGAGUAUGGGAGAAUAAAGAUGAUACAAGAAGGAAAAACAAGGGGAAAGUGUAAAAUCUUCAAUGAAGGACACACCCAUGCUUCUACUUCUACUUUGUGAAAAUAAUACUCUUUCAAUUCAAAAUUUUGAGGGUAAAGAAUUAUAAUCUUGUUAAUUUUAGAUCUAUAAUUUAGGGUUUAUGAUAUUGAUUUCAAUUUGUGAUUUAUGUUAUUAUUAUUUCAAUUUGUGAUUUUUUUUUUUUGAAAGUUUUCAAUUUG